CCCAGUAAGGGCUGGCUCAUAGUCCCUCACAGGCAAAUCCCAUCUGUGGUCUAGGGGCCAGGGAGGGGGAUUAAACUCUCCUUCCCCUGAGUACGGAGCUGCCCUGCCCUCCUAAAACUUAACGUGGCCUGCAACUGUGGACUACAAAUCCCAGAGGCAUCUAGAAGCAGGAAGAGGAAGUGAUGAGCAACUCUGUGCAGUCUUGCUUCUCUGACACUUGAUUGCAAAUCCAGGAGACCUCAGGGGCAGCAGAAAGACCCAGUGAAGACAAGAAGCAUUCUGGAGAAAAUGCUAUGCCUUUUCAGGGGAUAAACAUAUCAUCACUCCAAAUACAUCUCAAUCUCAAGGGUGAAGAAGAUUAUGAUGACAGCCAAGAUGGAAGGAAACUUUUGAAAUCUAUUGAAUAUCAUGCCUCACUGACUAAAAGAAUUGAUACAGAAGUAAAAAUUAAGAAUGUUCAGUUUUUCUUCAGAUCUUUUAAAAAACAAAUGACAAAAAGUAUUUUCUUCUUGGUUUCAUGGGAGAAGCUAAACUAGAAGCAAAAGUAUUUUCUUUUUUAUUUAGACUUAUUUAUUAUUUCAAUGUAAAGACAGAAAAGGAAAUAAUUUUUUUCUUGAAUAACAAAGAGAAACUAAACAAGAAAUCCUAGCACUGUGGAGAUUACUGGGUGUUUGAAAUACGAGGCAUAUUAACCAACAUCUUACAAAAAGAUUUUGGACUGUUUUCAAUAUGACCAAAAACACACACUCCAGUUUUGUCACAAAACUUUAAGCAUUUCAAUUUGUCAUGCUUUUUUCUCUGCCAUUUAUAGCUAGUAUAUUCAUAUGGCACUCGAUAAGGUUAAAAUUGAAUUUUUCCACUAAGAAUAACAUUAUUGGUGUACAAGAAUGAAUGCAAUCGUAUUAAUUUAAUAUGGAUUGAAUAUUAAUCAAAUGGUCAUAUUUUAUUUGCCAAAUUCUAUCAUCAUGUGCAUCCAUAAAACCCAAAUGAGGUCACAUUUAGAAUCAACAAUGCUGUAUAGAGAAAAGGAGAGAAAAAUAUUGCCCAACAUAUAUAAACAAAAAUUUUGAAUUAUGCAUUUUUGCCAUUUGGCAAAUGUGCUUUUAAACACGUCAGUGUCACAACUUUUAUACAACCAUAUACCCAGAUACUUGAUUGCUUAUUUUCUAUUCAUAUAAUCUCUAUAUAAGCAUUUAAUAUAUGAUCAGUCUUGCUGAAUCUAAAUUCCAAAAUGAGAUUGUGCAUGUGGUAUUUCUAGAGUAAAUAAAUCCAUUACCCUAUAA